CAGCAGUCGCCGCGGGAAUACAGAGGGUGCAAGCGUUAAUCGGAAUUACUGGGCGUAAAGCGCGCGUAGGUGGUUUGUUAAGUUGGAUGUGAAAGCCCCGGGCUCAACCUGGGAACUGCAUCCAAAACUGGCAAGCUAGAGUACGGUAGAGGGUGGUGGAAUUUCCUGUGUAGCGGUGAAAUGCGUAGAUAUAGGAAGGAACACCAGUGGCGAAGGCGACCACCUGGACUGAUACUGACACUGAGGUGCGAAAGCGUGGGGAGCAAACAGGAUUAGAUACCCCAGUAGUCCCUGUCUCUUAUAC
rnacentral:rRNA from 1 species